rnacentral:lncRNA from 1 species
CACAGCUUCUGGCACCAAGGACUUAACCAUGUUGGAUCCAAAAGUGGGCCUGAAAACCUGAAGCAUAUGCUUCACAGCUGGGCUGUAAGUCGGACUUGACCCCAGCUGACAUGCAAGGUCAUGGUGUGCCCGAGGUGGUGACAGUGAACAAAGUGUAUAUGAUGUGCCCAGUGGUAGCAAAGGAAAAAAGCAUACCAAAUGGACUUUGAAGGACCAAAGGUUUUAAAAGUCGAUUGGUAUCACCCCCACACUGAUAGAGUAGUGGGGUGCAUUUGGUUUUCAAAUUGGGUACUUUUAACACUUUAGUGCCUGACUGCUGUUCUUCACUGACUUGACUCAGUCACUCGUAGCUUUAUUGGUCUGAACCAGCUCCUUGUUCCCAGGUUGCAGACCUGCCUAUCGUUCCAAUAAUCCUGUUUCACUUGAAUGAAGGGAGUAUGUCUUAAAUGUAAAGCUUCUGGUUCUCACACUGUACUCUGAGGUCCAAAUGACUGUUUGUUGAUGUAUAACCUGAUGUCUCAACCCCCAGUGAGAAGAGUCACUUCUUUGGUAUUCACCGACGCGGGAGGCUUCACCGGAACAGGCGUUUGCUUUGGGCUCUGCUGUUUGUUUGCAGAACACCCAAGAGUGAGCAAACAUGCUCUCUUCACAGCAGUACCUUAGGGUUUUGCCAUUGUAAAUGGGUCUAAUGUGAUAUGACAAGACCAGAGAAAUUGGAUGUAAAUUUACAUUUUUGAAUAUGCUUGUUGUUUCACAUGAUACAUUUAGGGUAUGCAGCUCCUUUUGUAGUUUUUAUUUUUACUAUUUAAGUUUGGAAAUGAUGCCAAAUUUUUGUAUUUCUUUAAUCAAUGUGUUCUCUUCGGUGAUAUAUAUUGCAUUAUAUAUUGAUGUGUGUAUCAAUAUAUACUGAUAUGUAUUACACUUACACAUACAAACACAUAAAUAAGAGGGGGUGAAAACCGUAGCCUUUGCAUUCUCUAUAGCCUCUACAGAGAGAUCCUAAGCAGCAAAAUCUUGGUGUUGUGAUGUACAGAAAUGGAGAAGAGUAUUAAACCAUAUUUAAGAAUACACUUUGUG